CCGGGAAACUAGAUUGAGGAAAGGAACACUUGGUUGUAAGACCAAGGUUCAAAACCUUAUCUCCAGUAAUACUGCCAUUUUGAUGCAUAUUGGUAUGAGAGGCAUGACCUGAACAGAGUGUACUGAUGAAGCUCUGAUUAUAUAUUAGCUAUUGGAUCAGGAUAUAAGCUUGCUUAAUCCUUAUUACACGAAGUAAAGGAGCGAAAAGGGGCUUAAGUAGCUAGAUGGCAAAGAAUAGGCUAGUAUAAUCUAGCAACAAAUGGACAAAGUAUCGAGAAAAAGAAAGUGUGGAAUCUCAUUUGGGUGGUGCCUUUAUCUC
rnacentral:lncRNA from 1 species